rnacentral:rRNA from 1 species
UACGUAGGUGGCGAGCGUUAUCCGGAAUGAUUGGGCGUAAAGGGUGCGUAGGUGGCAGACCAAGUCUGGAGUAAAAGGUAUGGGCUCAACCCGUACUGGCUCUGGAAACUGAUCAGCUAGAGAACAGAAGAGGACGGCGGAACUCCAUGUGUAGCGGUAAAAUGCGUAGAUAUAUGGAAGAACACCGGUGGCGAAGGCGGCCGUCUGGUCUGGAUUCUGACACUGAAGCACGAAAGCGUGGGGAGCAAAUAGG